rnacentral:lncRNA from 1 species
CUUUGUUAAAAUCAACAAUUUCCCUAGUUUUCAUGAAGAGAAAAAGAUAACUGAUUUGACUGGCUUUUCUCCCUCCUUUUGUGUAAUCAUGUAAGUUUCACAAAUGUGGAGAAAACAAAAGUCUGUCAAUAAGGGCCUUUUUUUAGUGCAACAUGUUGGCAGAAUUACUCAUAAGGAACAGACAAUAGGCUGCAAUUCAUCCCAUCUUUUUCGAGAACCGAAUUCCUCAACAGUUGCGUGAAGAGUGUAUGUUUGAUAUCAUGGUAGAUUGUCAUAAUCCAAGUAAGCCAUCGUAAUAUGUAAAAACUACAUUUUGUGCUGUUUGGUAUCAUGGUGAGCUCUUUGCAACUUUUGCCUAAACAUGGUGGCUCACCGUGAUUUCAAGAGACUCACCCGAUACCAAACAUGCACCGAGUAGCUUUUGUAAAAUCAAAGUGACUCGCUGUGAUUCUUACAAACCUACUCUGAUAUUGAUGCCAAACAUGCACAGAUUAUUUAAAAUUGAUUUAGUUGACGUGAAAUUUGAGCCAUCUGAUAUCAAACUAAUAGUUGAUAUUUCUCUAUUAUUAACUACAUGUAACUGUAUCAGUAUCACGCAGUUACAUCAGUGAAUCAAGAGCCAUCUUCACUGUGUCAAUUAGAGGAAGAUUUUUCUUCAGUGUAUGCUAUCAAUGUUUGAUGUUUAUUAUUGAGAAAUUGGAUCAAAUAAUCAUUGACAACAAUGAGAAUACAAGGUUGAGCUGAUUCUGAUACACAUAGUUACAUAAGUGUGUAUUGUGAUUAACAAUUUGCAACUUUAGUUCUCUGUUGGUAGUGAAUCUGAUAUACAAAUGUCUCCUCGACAUAGUGGGCAUACCCUGUGGAAUAAUAAUAAUAUACAAAAAGUUAAAGAUGCACAUUUCCAAUACAAAUUUCCAUCACAUGUGGAGUCAGUUCCAUGUAAUGUAAAGUUACUAACAUAAUUAUUUAUUGCACAAAUUAAAGGAUAGUGGCAUGAAAAAAUCAGAGCAUGUUUAGAUGAUUUUUUUUAAAGAAAGCAUGUAAAGAUGAAUUUGAAGAUGAAUUUCAACAUUUAUUAUAGGAGGGACCACAUAAAGGCAUUCAUAUGAAAUGAAUUGGCAAGAGUUAUUGCUAUAAAGCUCCUGUAUAAGAUUUAUGAUGGAGCCUUAACAGCAUGCUUGCUAUAGUUUCUGUAAAAUUCUGUAUUUUUUUUAAGAAAGUUAGAGUUAGGGAAAUGAUUAUUUAUUAAAGUAACAAUAUUGGUCAUUGGUCUAUCAGGAUAUUUGAAUUCCAUCCAUAGAAAUACAAGUUCAAACUUUUAUCACCGGACCGACAACUCAUGGACUGUUAAAUACAAUUUUUUGUUGGUUUGGUAUAAUUUGUUUUUUUAUAUCCAUCACAUGCAGAUACUACACUAAAUUGGCAGGGCUAUAUGCAAGAAGCAGAAACAACUUUUUUAAUAUGAAUUUGAAGUUUAUAGCUGUAUUGUUAACGUUAACCAGAAGAAGAUCCAUAAUUCCUAAUACGACAUACCUGUGAACCUCUUUCAGCCACUUGUCUAUACAUGUUGUAUGAAAUUCAUGAUGACAAGGAAGUACUCGCAUGCUGUCUCCAUCUUCGUACUCCACAAGGCAUAUAUAGCAUCUGUGAAAUUAGAAUAACCAUAACCAAUUGGCACAAACUAUUCAAAUGUGAUAACACACAAAAAUGCACAUUAUGAUCAAGGUAAUGGUCUCCUAAGACAAGACUAAAAAUUAUUUUUUAUUGUUUGCGUUCUUUCUAUUUUUGUUUUGGAACCGUUGUGUGCAAUUUAAAUUUUAUCAUACAUGUAACUCAAAUGACAUCAAAUGAAAGAGAAACAAUGUGUACUAAAUUAAAGAACACUUACUGUACAGGUUCUUCUUGAUGUUUUUGCAACUUUGUGUAUAAUUUGACAGGUAAGGAUUCGACAACUUCAGCAGGUGCAGGAACAGAUCCGAUAGAAGAUACAGAAGGGCGGGAAGAUAAAACCACUGAUUGCUGAUGAAUUUCAUCCAGAACCUAAUAAAAGUAUAUACC